rnacentral:rRNA from 1 species
CCUACGGGAGGCAGCAGUGGGGAAUAUUGGACAAUGGGCGCAAGCCUGAUCCANCAUGCCGCGUGAGUGAUGAGGGCCUUAGGGUUGUAAAGCUCUUUCACCGAGAAGAUAAUGCGGUAUCCGGAGAAGAAGCCGGCUAANUUCGCCAGCAGCCGGGUAUACGAAGGGGCUAGCGUUNUUCGGAAUUAUGGGGUAAAGCGCACGUAGGCGGAUAUUAAGUCAGGGGUGAAAUCCCAGAGUCACUUGGAACUGCCUUGAUACGGGAUCUGGUAUGGAAGAGGUAAGUGGAAUUCCGAGUGUAGAGGGAAAUUGUAGAUUUNGGGGACCCAGGGCGAGGGGCUUCGGUCCAUUACUGCGNGAGGUGGAAAGGUGGGGAGCAACAGGAUUAGAUACCCGUAUCCCGCCGUAAACGGAAUGUUAGCCGUGGGCGUUAUGUUCGUGGCGCAGUCUAACGCUUAACUCUCGACCUGGGGAGUACGGUCGCAAGAUUAAAACUCAAAUGAAUUGACGGGG